CACGACGUUGGCUGAAAAAGUCCUUCAUUAUCUUCUUUGUGUCUUUCCUAUCGAUAUUUGAAGUUAUCAUUCCUAGUUAUGUUUUUCAUUCCUUAUGUCUAAGUGAACUUGGCUACCGGUUUCUUAUUUGGCUAACUCUUAGAUAAAGGCAAAAGGGAAAGACCCUUACAAUUUGGAAAUUUGGAUAUCGUCUCGCAUGCAGGCACGUGUUGGUGAUGAUGAUAGUUUGCUAUGCUUGCUGCUGUGAAGUGGUACCUAUUCCACAUUCCAAAUCAUUUGGUCAAUGAUUUGUUCAUUAAUGGCCAAUCAGCCUGCGGAUCUCUACCUCAAAGAAAGUCGAAAAUGCCACCCCUUGCUGUUAUGAUCCUGGAGACCGCAGUUAUUUUUCCAACUAAUGGAAGAGCGAAUCUUCAGUGAGGUACUUGACGGAG